AUGAAAAAAGAGACAAAGUGCUAAACAAUCUUUCAUCAGUGCGAAGCCCCUAAUUAACAGCAAAACCCCACAUCCUCCCAAAAACAGAGUAAUACUCAACAGCCCAUUAGCAUAAUUCUAAGAUUAUCGGAGAAAACAUGAAGAUCAUCCACAACUAUCACGUUUAUACGUAAAACACCCGUAUACUAACAGCAUAAACUCAAGAUAUCAAAGACAAAAGGUCAAUCCACCAUUCAUCGAUGCGAAACACUAGAUCCGUAAGAAAAAAGCACCCAACAUAAUCAAAACAGAGCCUCAC
rnacentral:lncRNA from 1 species